rnacentral:rRNA from 1 species
UACGUAGGGUGCAGGCGUUAAUCGGAAUUACUGGGCGUAAAGCGUGCGCAGGCGGUCUAUUAAGACAGGUGUGAAAUCCCCGGGCUUAACCUGGGAACUGCAUUGGUGACUGGCAGGCUUUGAGUGUGGCAGAGGGAGGUAGAAUUCCACGUGUAGCAGUGAAAUGCGUAGAGAUGUGGAGGAAUACCGAUGGCGAAGGCAGCCUCCUGGGCCAACACUGACGCUCAUGCACGAAAGCGUGGGGAGCAAACAGG